rnacentral:rRNA from 1 species
AACGAACGCUGGCGGCAUGCCUAACACAUGCAAGUCGAACGAGACCUUCGGGUCUAGUGGCGCACGGGUGCGUAACGCGUGGAAACCUGCCCUUAGGUUCGGAAUAACUCCCCGAAAGGGGUGCUAAUACCGGAUAAUGUCUUCGGACCAAAGAUUUAUGGCCUUUGGAUGGGCCCGCGUUGGAUUAGCUAGUUGGUAGGGUAAAAGCCUACCAAGGCGACGAUCCAUAGCUGGUCUGAGAGGAUGAUCAGCCACACUGGGACUGAGACACGGCCCAGACUCCUACGGGAGGGAGCAGUGGGGAAUAUUGGACGAUGGGCGAAAGCCUGAUCCAGCAAUGCGGGGUGAGUGAUGAAGGCCUUAGGGUUGUAAAGCUCUUUUACCCGGGAUGAUAAUGACGGUACCGGGAGAAUAAGCUCCGGCUAACUCCGUG